rnacentral:rRNA from 1 species
UCCUACGGGAGGCAGCAGUGGGGAAUAUUGGACAAUGGGCGCAAGCCUGAUCCAGCAAUGCCGCGUGGGUGAAGAAGGUCUUCGGAUUGUAAAGCCCUUUCGACGGGGACGAUGGUGACGGUACCCGUAGAAGAAGCCCCGGCUAACUUCGUGCCAGCAGCCGCGGUAAUACGAAGGGGGCUAGCGUUGCUCGGAAUGACUGGGCGUAAAGGGCGCGUAGGCGGAUAGUACAGUCAGAUGUGAAAUUCCCGGGCUCAACCUGGGGGCUGCAUUUGAUACGUGCUGUCUAGAGUUCGGAAGAGGGUCGUGGAAUUCCCAGUGUAGAGGUGAAAUUCGUAGAUAUUGGGAAGAACACCGGUGGCGAAGGCGGCGACCUGGUCCGAGACUGACGCUGAGGCGCGAAAGCGUGGGGAGCAAACAGGAUUAGAUACCCUGGUAGUCCACGCCGUAAACGAUGCGCGCUGGAUGUUGGGGGGCCUAGCCCUUCAGUGUCGUAGCUAACGCGAUAAGCGCCC